rnacentral:rRNA from 1 species
AUGCACGCUGGCGGCGUGCCUAAUACAUGCAAGUCGAGCGAACGGACGAGAAGCUUGCUUUUCUGAUGUUAGCGGCGGACGGGUGAGUAACACGUGGAUAACCUACCUAUAAGACUGGGAUAACUUCGGGAAACCGGAGCUAAUACCGGAUAAUAUUUUGAACCACAUGGUUCAAAAGUGAAAGACGGUCUUGCUGUCACUUAUAGAUGGAUCCGCGCUGCAUUAGCUAGUUGGUAAGGUAACGGCUUACCAAGGCAACGAUGCAUAGCCGACCUGAGAGGGUGAUCGGCCACACUGGAACUGAGACACGGUCCAGACUCCUACGGGAGGCAGCAGUAGGGAAUCUUCCGCAAUGGGCGAAAGCCUGACGGAGCAACGCCGCGUGAGUGAUGAAGGUCUUCGGAUCGUAAAACUCUGUUAUUAGGGAAGAACAUAUGUGUAAGUAACUGUGCACAUCUUGACGGUACCUAAUCAGAAAGCCACGGCUAACUACGUG